AUUGAACGCUGGCGGCAGGCCUAACACAUGCAAGUCGAGCGGAUGCAGGGAGCUUGCGCCUGGAUUCAGCGGCGGAAGGGUGAGUAAUGCCUAGGAAUCUGCCUGGUAGUGGGGGAUAACGUCCGGAGACGGGUGCUAAUACUGCAUACGUCCUGAGGGAGCAGGUGGGGGGGGUUCGGACCUCACGCUAUCAGAUGAGUCUAGGUCGGAUUAGCUAGUUGGUGGGUUAAGGGCCUACCAAGCCGGCCAUCGGUAACUGGUCUGAGAGGAUGAUCAGUCACACUGGAACUGAGACACGGUCAAGACUCCUACGGGAGGCAGCAGUGGGGAAUGUUGGACAGUGGUCGGAAGCCUGAUCCAGCCAUGCCGCGUGUGAGAAGAAGGUCUUCGGAUUGUAAAGACCGUUAAGUUGGGGGGAAGCGCAGUAGGUUAAUACCUUGCUGUUUUGACGGUAACAACAGAAUAAGCACCGGCUAACUACGUG
rnacentral:rRNA from 1 species